rnacentral:rRNA from 1 species
UUCCUGUCCAACGUUAAUCGGGGCAGGGUGAGUCGACCCCUAAGGCGAGGCCGAAAGGCGUAGUCGAUGGGAAACAGGUUAAUAUUCCUGUACUUGGUGUUACUGCGAAGGGGGGACGGAGAAGGCUAUGUUGGCCGGGCGACGGUUGUCCCGGUUUAAGCGUGUAGGCUGGUUUUCCAGGCAAAUCCGGAAAAUCAAGGCUGAGGCGUGAUGACGAGGCACUACGGUGCUGAAGCGACAAAUGCCCUGCUUCCAGGAAAAGCCUCUAAGCAUCAGGUAACAUCAAAUCGUACCCCAAACCGACACAGGUGGUCAGGUAGAGAAUACCAAGGCGCUUGAGAGAACUCGGGUGAAGGAACUAGGCAAAAUGGUGCCGUAACUUCGGGAGAAGGCACGCUGAUAUGUAGGUGAAGCGACUUGCUCGUGGAGCUGAAAUCAGUCGAAGAUACCAGCUGGCUGCAACUGUUUAUUAAAAACACAGCACUGUGCAAACACGAAAGUGGACGUAUACGGUGUGACGCCUGCCCGGUGCCGGAAGGUUAAUUGAUGGGGUUAGCGGUAACGCGAAGCUCUUGAUCGAAGCCCCGGUAAACGGCGGCCGUAACUAUAACGGUCCUAAGGUAGCGAAAUUCCUUGUCGGGUAAGUUCCGACCUGCACGAAUGGCGUAAUGAUGGCCAGGCUGUCUCCACCCGAGACUCAGUGAAAUUGAACUCGCUGUGAAGAUGCAGUGUACCCGCGGCAAGACGGAAAGACCCCGUGAACCUUUACUAUAGCUUGACACUGAACAUUGAGCCUUGAUGUGUAGGAUAGGUGGGAGGCUUUGAAGUGUGGACGCCAGUCUGCAUGGAGCCGACCUUGAAAUACCACCCUUUAAUGUUUGAUGUUCUAACGUGGGCCCCUUACCGGGGUUGCGGACAGUGUCUGGUGGGUAGUUUGACUGGGGCGGUCUCCUCCUAAAGAGUAACGGAGGAGCACGAAGGUUGGCUAAUCCUGGUCGGACAUCAGGAGGUUAGUGCAAUGGCAUAAGCCAGCUUGACUGCGAGCGUGACGGCGCGAGCAGGUGCGAAAGCAGGUCAUAGUGAUCCGGUGGUUCUGAAUGGAAGGGCCAUCGCUCAACGGAUAAAAGGUACUCCGGGGAUAACAGGCUGAUACCGCCCAAGAGUUCAUAUCGACGGCGGUGUUUGGCACCUCGAUGUCGGCUCAUCACAUCCUGGGGCUGAAGUAGGUCCCAAGGGUAUGGCUGUUCGCCAUUUAAAGUGGUACGCGAGCUGGGUUUAGAACGUCGUGAGACAGUUCGGUCCCUAUCUGCCGUGGGCGCUGGAGAACUGAGGGGGGCUGCUCCUAGUACGAGAGGACCGGAGUGGACGCAUCACUGGUGUUCGGGUUGUCAUGCCAAUGGCACUGCCCGGUAGCUAAAUGCGGAAGAGAUAAGUGCUGAAAGCAUCUAAGCACGAAACUUGCCCCGAGAUGAGUUCUCCCUGACUCCUUGAGAGUCCUGAAGGAACGUUGAAGACGACGACGUUGAUAGGCCGGGUGUGUAAGCGCAGCGAUGCGUUGAGCUAACCGGUACUAAUGAACCGUGAGGCUUAACCUU